rnacentral:rRNA from 1 species
UACGGAGGGUGCGAGCGUUAAUCGGAAUAACUGGGCGUAAAGCGCACGCAGGCGGUUAUUUAAGUGAGAUGUGAAAUCCCCGGGCUCAACCUGGGAAUUGCAUUUGAGACUGGGUGUCUAGAGUACUGUAGAGAGGGGUAGAAUUCCACGUGUAGCGGUGAAAUGCGUAGAGAUGUGGAGGAAUACCGAAGGCGAAGGCAGCCCCCUGGGCAUGUACUGACGCUCAUGUGCGAAAGCGUGGGGAGCAAACAGG